UUAGGUUGCUCUGGUUUACCCCAACAAUGAUCCAGUCAUGUUUAUGGUGGCUUUUUAUGGAUGUCUCCUGGCAGAAGUGAUUCCAGUACCAAUAGAGGUGCCCCUUACCAGAAAGGAUGCCGGAGGUCAGCAGAUUGGCUUCUUGCUAGGGAGCUGUGGUAUUGCCUUAGCUCUUACCAGUGAAGUUUGUCUAAA